ACACGGAUCUUCAAGGACAUGUAUCUGUCAACAUAUCUAUACUUAUUAUCCCUAACACCUCUAUAAUGUAAUACAUAUUUUAUACCUAUUUUACUAUAAAUGAAUAACUUUAUCUAAACUCCUAUCAAAUUCUCUACAUAUUCCAAGAAUUAAAUAUUUUCUCAUCCUCUUAUUACGUCUCCGUGUUACCUGAUAACCAUAUUUCCCCAGUCUUAUGAAGUGUAAAUAUACUAUAAAGGCAGCUUAAAUGUAUACAGUUCUUUAGUAAAUUGUAAAUGUGUGUAAACAAAAUGUAGUGGAAAAGUGGAGUGAAAAUGUAAAUGUACUACAAUUGGGAUCAAAAUUCACAGACACUGGGACGCUGUUGUCAAGAUUCACAGACACUGAGACACUUAGUAAGAUUCAUAGACAUGAGGAUACAGUACUUGUCAAAAUUCAGAGUGAGAUUCACUAGUCACAAUCCUGCGAGACAUUACAAGAGACAGCCCUCAGAGCAUCAAAACAAAGACGGCGUGGUCUUAACCAAAAGAAGUUAAGAAACAACGCCCUGCAAUACAAGCCUGAGUGUGCCAUAUUACACACAGAAUUAUCAAAGCUUUAUGAACUGCAGGGAAUUGAAGACUCUUGUCUAAGGAACCUGAAACAUCCAUGUUGCCAGAAGUUUUCUUUGGUAGGGGACUGACAUUGAUAGGAUGUUCUUGCAAAUUCAACAAAUUGAAAAGGGGUUCUACCUUAGAAGAUGAAGGCAGAGAAGAUGACAUCCAAUUGCCUGGGUUAGUUACUGUUGUCUUGAAGAAUGUGUAGGAGAGGAAGACCGGGUAGAAUGUUGCUGCACCUGAAACGAGGUACACACCAGUGAUAGUCAAAAUUGACACUUAAUGUUACUGGAGCUCCUCAUUUCAUAGAUUUAUUGAGAUCCAGCGCAGAAAAAUCCAGCGUUACCCAAGCGGUUGAUCAUCCCACCCAUGCACCAACCAUGUGAGGAUGUGGCGAAACAUAAUGCAAUCUUUCAUAAUGCCGGAAACCUCUGUCCCCGGGCAUGGAGUAGAAAGGUUUGGAGUGAUUUUCUUGCAAUUUUUUCAGAU